UGCCCGUUGGCCCAGCCGGUUAGGGCGUCUGACUGUUAUCAUCCACAGAAAAAUCAGAAGAUCCCCGGUUCGAACCCGGGACGGGCAG